AUAUAGGACGUCCAACUUAACUUGGAGUCCGAACUCUCACUUUCUAACCCUGUGCACUUGUUUGGGAUAGUAACUCUCGCAAGAGAGCGAACUCCUAUUCACUUAUAAACACAAAGUCUAUGAAUGUAUUAAAUUUUAUAACAAAAUAAAACUUUCAACAACGGAUCUCUUGGCUCUCGCAUCGAUGAAGAACGCAGCGAAAUGCGAUAAGUAAUGUGAAUUGCAGAAUUCAGUGAAUCAUCGAAUCUUUGAACGCACCUUGCGCUCCAUGGUAUUCCGUGGAGCAUGCCUGUUUGAGUGUCAUGAAUACUUCAACCCUCCUCUUUCUUAAUGAUUGAAGAGGUGUUUGGUUUCUGAGCGCUGCUGGCCUUUACGGUCUAGCUCGUUCGUAAUGCAUUAGCAUCCGCAAUCGAACUUCGGAUUGACUUGGCGUAAUAGACUAUUCGCUGAGGAAUUCUAGUCUUCGGAUUAGAGCCGGGUUGGGUUAAAGGAAGCUUCUAAUCAGAAUGUCUACAUUUUAAGAUUAGAUCUCAAAUCAGGUAGGACUACCCGCUGAACUUAAGCAUAUCAAUAAGCGGAGGAAAAGAAACUAACAAGGAUUCCCCUAGUAGCGGCGAGCGAAGCGGGAAGAGCUCAAAUUUAUAAUCUGGCACCUUCGGUGUCCGAGUUGUAAUCUCUAGAAAUGUUUUCCGCGUUGGACCGCACACAAGUCUGUUGGAAUACAGCGGCAUAGUGGUGAGACCCCCGUAUAUGGUGCGGACGCCCAGCGCUUUGUGAUACAUUUUCGAAGAGUCGAGUUGUUUGGGAAUGCAGCUCAAAUUGGGUGGUAAAUUCCAUCUAAAGCUAAAUAUUGGCGAGAGACCGAUAGCGAACAAGUACCGUGAGGGAAAGAUGAAAAGCACUUUGGAAAGAGAGUUAACAGUACGUGAAAUUGUUGGAAGGGAAACGCUUGAAGUCAGACUUGCUUGCCGAGCAAUCGGUUUGCAGGCCAGCAUCAGUUUUCCGGGAUGGAUAAUGGUAGAGAGAAGGUAGCAGUUUCGGCUGUGUUAUAGCUCUCUGCUGGAUACAUCUUGGGGGACUGAGGAACGCAGUGUGCCUUUGGCGGGGGUUUCGACCUCU
rnacentral:rRNA from 1 species